AACGAACGCUGGCGGCGUGGAUAAGACAUGCAAGUCGAACGAUCAUUAGCGGGUAGCAAUAUCUGCUAGUGGGAGUGGCGCAAGGGUGCGUAACACGUGGGCAAUCUGCCGUGAAGUUUGGGAUAACUUGCUGAAAGGCGAGCUAAUACCGGAUGUGACAACCUGGGGGCAUCUCUGGGUUGUUAAAGUUGGGGACCGCAAGGCCUGACGCUUCAUGAUGAACCCGCGGCCUAUCAGCUAGUUGGUGAGGUAACGGCUUACCAAGGCUAUGACGGGUAGCCGGCCUGAAAGGGCGACCGGCCACAAUGGCACUGAGACACGGGCCAUACUCCUACGGGAGGCAG
rnacentral:rRNA from 1 species